UCUCCGUUGGUGAACCAGCGGAGGGAUCAUUACCGAGUUUACAACUCCCAAACCCCUGUGAACAUACCAUUUGUUGCCUCGGCGGUGCCUGCUUCGGCAGCCCGCCAGAGGACCCAGACCCUUGAUUUUAUACAGUAUCUUCUGAGUAAAUGAUUAAAUAAAUCAAAACUUUCAACAACGGAUCUCUUGGUUCUG
rnacentral:misc_RNA from 1 species